AGGUGCAGCGGUAGGAACAUAGAGAAGUAUACAGUGUUCUGGAGAGAGUCGCUCUCGUGGCCUGGGGGGAUCUUGCCUGUAUAACAUCACGCUGCGCAUCAAGAUCCCUGCUAUCUGUCAGUGACUGGAAACAUUCAGAGACUGGGAAUUCCUUCUGAUGCCAGGCCUCCUCGCAGAGCUGCAGUAAUACCUCUGCAAACACAACCAGCGGACCCUCCAUUGUGACUAUAGACAAAGCUACCCCAGAUUCCACCGAGACGAA